rnacentral:rRNA from 1 species
GACGAACGCUGGCGGCGUGCCUAAUACAUGCAAGUCGAACGCAUUUUCUUUCACCGUAGCUUGCUACACCGAAAGAAAAUGAGUGGCGAACGGGUGAGUAACACGUGGGUAACCUGCCCAUCAGCGGGGGAUAACACUUGGAAACAGGUGCUAAUACCGCAUAAUUCCAUUUACUGCAUGGUAGAUGGAUGAAAGGCGCUUUUGCGUCACUGAUGGAUGGACCGGCGGUGCAUUAGUUAGUUGGUGGGGUAAGGGCCUACCAAGGCUGCGAUGCAUAGCCGACCUGAGAGGGUGAUCGGCCACACUGGGACUGAGACACGGCCCAGACUCCUACGGGAGGCAGCAGUAGGGAAUCUUCGGCAAUGGACGCAAGUCUGACCGAGCAACGCCGCGUGAGUGAAGAAGGUUUUCGGAUCGUAAAACUCUGUUGUUAGAAAAGAACAAGGAUGAGAGUGGAAAGUUCAUCCCUUGACGGUAUCUAACCAGAAAGCCACGGCUAACUACGUG